CCUACGGGCGGCUGCAGUGGGGAAUAUUGCACAAUGGGCGCAAGCCUGAUGCAGCCAUGCCGCGUGUGUGAAGAAGGCCUUCGGGUUGUAAAGCACUUUAAGCGGGGAGGAAGGCGGUGAGGUUAAUAACCUCAUCGAUUGACGUUACCCGCAGAAGAAGCACCGGCUAACUCCGUGCCAGCAGCCGCGGUAAUACGGAGGGUGCAAGCGUUAAUCGGAAUUACUGGGCGUAAAGCGCACGCAGGCGGUCUGUCAAGUCGGAUGUGAAAUCCCCGGGCUCAACCUGGGAACUUCAUUCGAAACUGGCAGGCUAGAGUCUUGUAGAGGGUGGUAGAAUUCCCGGUGUAGCGGUUAAAUGCGUAGAGAUCUGGAGGAAUACCGGUGGCGAAGGCGGCCCCCUGGACAAAGACUGACGCUCAGGUGCGAAAGCGUGGGGAGCAAACAGGAUUAGAUACCCGUGUAGUC
rnacentral:rRNA from 1 species